rnacentral:rRNA from 1 species
AGGACGAACGCUGGCGGCGUGCUUAACACAUGCAAGUCGAACGAGGCCUUGUGCCUAGUGGCGAACGGGUGAGUAACACGUGAGCAACCUGCCCCUGGCUCUGGGAUAGCCUCCGGAAACGGGGAUUAAUACCGGACAUGACCUGCCUCCGCAUGGUGGCGGGUGGAAAGUUUUUCGGCCGGGGAGGGGCUCGCGGCCUAUCAGCUUGUUGGGGGGGUAACGGCCCACCAAGGCGACGACGGGUAGCCC